rnacentral:piRNA from 1 species
AAGAAAGCAGGCUGAACAAGCCACAAGGAGCA